rnacentral:rRNA from 1 species
CCUACGGGAGGCUGCAGUGGGGAAUAUUGCACAAUGGGGGAAACCCUGAUGCAGCGACGCCGCGUGAGUGAAGAAGUAAUUCGUUAUGUAAAGCUCUAUCAGCAGGGAAGAAAAUGACGGUACCUGAGUAAGAAGCCCCGGCUAACUACGUGCCAGCAGCCGCGGUAAUACGUAGGGGGCAAGCGUUAUCCGGAUUUACUGGGUGUAAAGGGAGCGUAGACGGCAGUGCAAGUCUGGAGUGAAAGGCGGGGGCUCAACCCCCGGACUGCUCUGGAAACUGUACGGCUGGAGUGCAGGAGAGGGAAGUGGAAUUCCUAGUGUAGCGGUGAAAGGCGUAGAUAUUAGGAGGAACACCAGUGGCGAAGGCGGCCUGCUGGGCUUUAACUGACGCUGAGGCUCGAAAGCGUGGGGAGCAAACAGGAUUAGAUACCCCUGUAGUC